rnacentral:rRNA from 1 species
UACAGGGGGGGCAAGCGUUGUUCGGAAUUACUGGGCGUAAAGGGCUCGUAGGCGGCCAACUAAGUCCGACGUGAAAUCCCAAAGCUUAACUUUGGAACUGCGUCGGAUACUGGAUGGCUUGAAUUCGGGAGAGGGAUGCAGAAUUCCAGGUGUAGCGGUGAAAUGCGUAGAUAUCUGGAGGAACACCGGUGGCGAAGGCGGCAUCCUGGACCAUUACUGACGCUGAGGAGCGAAAACCAGGGGAGCAA